rnacentral:rRNA from 1 species
GACGGGGGGUCCUAGCGUUGUUCGGAAUUAUUGGGCGUAAAGCGUGCGUAGGCGGCUACAUAAGUCAGGAGUGAAAGCCCGGGGCUCAACCCCGGGAGGCGGGUGGAUACUGUCAAGCUCGAGUCCGGAAGAGGCGAGUGGAAUUCCUGGUGUAGCGGUGAAAUGCGCAGAUAUCAGGAGGAACACCAAUGGCGAAGGCAGCUCGCUGGGACGUGACUGACGCUGAGACGCGAAAGCGUGGGGAGCAAACAGG